rnacentral:rRNA from 1 species
AUGGCUCGUGAUAUUCUUGCUAUCCCCAUUACAACUGUGGCUUCCGAGUCUGCCUUUAGCACAAGCGGACGCAUACUUGAUGACUUUAGGACAUCUCUAACUCCAUUUAUGGUGCAAGCUUUAGUUUGUACGCAAGACUGGCUGAGAAGGUCAACAGAUCCGGUCGACAUCAAGGAGAACUUGGAAGAGUUAGAAGUGCUAGAAAAAGAGUUGAUUGAAGAAUUUGGUGACAAGGUGAGGGGAAAGCGCAAGGGCAAUAGUGGUGGUGUUGCUUCUUCCAUGGCCAAGCCAAACAAGUGUGCAAGUCGACCAACAAAGUGA